rnacentral:rRNA from 1 species
CCUACGGGAGGCAGCAGUGAGGAAUAUUGGUCAAUGGGCGCGAGCCUGAACCAGCCAAGUAGCGUGAAGGAUGAAUGCUCUACGGGUUGUAACUUUUUUUUAUAAAGGAAUAAAUUGCGGCAUGUGUGCAUUUUUCUAUGUACUUUAUGAUUAAGGCACGGCUAACUCUGUGCCAGCAGCCGCGGUAAUACGGAGGAUCCGAGCGUUAUCCGGAUUUAUUGGGUUUAAAGGGAGCGUAGAUGGGUUGUUAAGUCAGUUGUGAAAGUUUGCGGCUCAACCGUAAAAUUGCAAUUGAUACUGGUAUUCUAGAGUAAAGUUGAGGUAGGCGGAAUUCGUGGUGUAGCGGUGAAAUGCUUAGAUAUCACGAAGAACUCCGAUUGCGAAGGCAACUUACUAAACCACCACUGACAUUGAUGCGCGAAAGUGUGGGUAGCAAACAGGAUUAGAUACCCCUGUAGUC